AGAGAAAAGCUGCAGGGAGCAGAGGCCAAGCGGAAGAGAGACGCAGGAAACAGUCAUGGCCACUCUGAGUGUAAAGCCAGGCCAGAGGUUCACGCUGCCAGACUGGCAUACCAAUUCUGACCUCCUCUCAACCAAUGCUCAGCGCCAACGCUCUGCUUCCCACCAGAUCAGGCAAGAAACCCGGAUCCUUCGCAAUGAAACAAAUAACCAG